rnacentral:rRNA from 1 species
GACGAACGCUGGCGGCGUGCUUGACACAUGCAAGUCGAACGGAAAGGCCUGCUUUCCCUUGUGGAUUGCGGGUACUCGAGUGGCGAACGGGUGAGUAACACGUGAGUGAUCUGCCCCCAACUUGGGUAUAAGCCUGGGAAACUGGGUCUAAUUCCCGAUAGGACUGCAGGGUGGUGCCUGUGGUGGAAAACGAUUUUCUAGUGGUUGGGGAUGAGCUCGCGGCCUAUCAGCUUGUUGGUGGGGUAAUGGCCUACCAAGGCGGCGACGGGUAGCCGGCCUGAGAGGGUGGACGGCCACAUUGGGACUGAGAUACGGCCCAGACUCCUACGGGAGGCAGCAGUGGGGAAUAUUGCACAAUGGGCGGAAGCCUGAUGCAGCGACGCCGCGUGGGGGAUGACGGCCCUCGGGUUGUAAACUCCUUUCGACCGCGAGGAAGCCACCUGGUUGGAAGGGUGGUGACGGUAGUGGUAGAAGAAGCACCGGCUAACUACGUG